UACGGGGGGGGCAAGCGUUGUUCGGAAUUACUGGGCGUAAAGGGCUCGUAGGUGGCCAACUAAGUCAGACGUGAAAUCCCUCGGCUUAACCGGGGAACUGCGUCUGAUACUGGAUGGCUUGAGUUUGGGAGAGGGACGCGGAAUUCCAGGUGUAGCGGUGAAAUGCGUAGAUAUCUGGAGGAACACCGGUGGCGAAGGCAAUCCCCUGGGCCUGCACUGACGCUCAUGCACGAAAGCGUGGGGAGCAAACAGG
rnacentral:rRNA from 1 species